ensembl:lncRNA
UCCCCUGGGGAUUUUCCCAACUGAGGGAUCGAACCCAGGUCUCCUGCAUUGCAGGCAGGUUCUUUAGUGUCUGAGCCACCAGGGAAGCCUGGACCUUGGACUUAUUCCUUGGGAUGGCUGAACCAUGAAUGAAUAUGUACUGGGGGGAAUAUGAGUAUUCCUCACUUGUCUCCAGAGAGAAUGCAAGAGAAGAAAGUCACCAAAGACCUCAGUGUCUCACACAACAUUGAGCACACAGCCACAAACAUCAGGGAACGUCAGACACAGAAAGCAAAAGAGAGAGGACCUUUCUCUUUUAAGAAAUAACCAGGGAUCUCAUGAACAAUGCCUGCAAUGUGUCAGCUGGUCCAGGAAAAGGAAGGAAGGAAGCCUGUUCCUUCAUGUAGGAAAUGAGUUGCCAGUCCAGGUUCGAUGCACGAUGCUGGAUGCUUGGGGCUGGUGCACUGGACGGCCCAGAGGGAUGGUAUGGGGAGGGAGGAGGGAGGAGGGUUCGGGAUGGGGAACACAUGUAUACCUGUGGCGGAUUCAUUUUGAUAUUUGGCAAAACUAA